UCACAUGAUGACAAAGGAUCUAAGAUCCGAACUAUAAACCCAGCUCUUCGAAUGCUACGGCAUAUUGAGACAAAAAACCCAUUCUGAUU
rfam:Colletotrichum fioriniae PJ7 Scaffold_842.1, whole genome shotgun sequence.